AACGAACGCUGGCGGCAUGCCUAACACAUGCAAGUCGAACGAGACGUCCGGGCCUUUUGGCGCACGGGGGCGGAAGGCGUGGGAAGCUGCCCUUAGGUUCGGAAUAACUCCCCGAAGGGGGUGCUAAUACCAGAUAGGGUCUUAGGACCAAAGAUCUAUUGCCUUUGGAUGGGCGCGCGUUGGCUUAGGUGGUUGGUAGGGUAAAAGCCUACCAAGGCGACGUUCCCUACCUGGUCUGAGAGGAUGCUCAGCCACGCUGGGACGGCGACACGGCCCAGACUCCUACGGAAGGCAGCAGUGGGUAAUAUUGGACACUGGGCGCAAGUCUGAUCAAGCAAUGCCGCGUAAGUGAUGAAGGCCUUAGGGUUGUAAUGCUCUUUUACCCGGGAUGAUAAUGACGGUACCGGGUAAAUAAGCUCCGGCUAACUACGUG
rnacentral:rRNA from 1 species